rnacentral:rRNA from 1 species
GCGCGAGUCACUGGGUGGAAAACCUAAAGGCGAAAUGAAAGUGAAGGGGGCCUCUGGCCCCCGAGGGGAAGAUGGGCGUCCGUCCUUCGCAGGCGGCGCCCCGCACUCCCGGGGCGUCUCUUUCUCGUUACGAGUGGAGGCGCACCUGUAGCGCACACGCUGAUACCCGAAAGAUGGUGAACUAUGCCUGGCCAGGACGAAGCCAGGGGAAACCCUGGUGGAGGUCCGCAGCGAUUCUGACGUGCAAAUCGAUCGUCGGAGCUGGGUAUAGGGGCGAAAGACCAAUCGAACCAUCUAGUAGCUGGUUCCCUCUGAAGUUUCCCUCAGGAUAGCUUGCGCUCGGUUGAGACGAGUCUCAUCCGGUAGAGCGAAUGAUUAGAGGCCUUGGGGUCGAAACGACCUCAACCUAUUCUCAAACUCCAAAUAGAUGAGAUCCCCGGCUUGCUUGAAAGUGAAGCCGCGGGAAUCGGAUCAGAGUGCAAAGUGGGCCAAUUUUGGUAAGCAGAACUGGCGCUGUGGGAUGAACCAAACGCAGAGUUAAGGCGCCUGAAUCGACGCUCAUGUGAAACCAUGAAAGGCGUUGGUUGCUUAAGACAGCAG